CGACGUCAUCGGCUCCACGGUUUCUUGUGUACUUUUAAACAACAGAUUCGGGGUACGCGGUCUUCAUUUAUCCGCCUAGGCUCGGCUAGACGCGCUGCUGGUAACACCCGCCUUGAAAGUCUGCUGUCACACGGAAACCUGCGACAACCACACCUUAAACAACUGGGAGUAACGUUUUUCUUACCGGAAGCCCGGCGACAGUCAAAAGACUCCCUGGACUGUUUCCCCUGUGGCGAGAGUUGGAGAGAGAAACUGGUCUCGUGUGUGGAUUGUUUGAAGUGGAACGAGUGCUUUCCCCCUGGAGCCCUGUCCCCGCAUCUUUUGUAUAUACACCCGGUGGACAGAUGUGAGGCAGACUUGCGUUUCAGGAGCUGCUACCGACAAACCAGCAAAAAAACACCAAAUGUGUCAUCUGUGACAUUUGUGAGGUUAUCUCAAACACACUCCGUCAGUCUUGUUGCUGUUGAACAACACAAUGCUUAAAAAUGUCGCGAGUUUACCUGGUGAUAUUCUCAUGCGCGAGGGGAUCACGAAAACUGCAAACAAAUAACACCCCGCCGAUGCUGUUCACAGGACAGCAAGAGUAAAUGAUCGGGAGAAUCUUGUCGUUAUCGUUCCCCUCGUACGUUUCAUUACUCAGAUUUCAGUGUUUUCGCUUCACAACAUGCAGUUUACUUUUUGUGUUCACUCAAAUGAAGUCGAGUCAACCAGCGCCACUUGUGGCCAAGUGCCAUAGCCUACCUACAGCCAGAUUAACUUGUGACACACAUCUGCACCACGUUUGAAUUCUUUUCAUGACAAUAACUUUCUAUUGUGUUUGUUUGUGCGUCGUGCAAAUAAACCUUUGAACUGAAUGAAAUGAUAUCAUGUAUUUAUUUUUGGCCUACAUCAAUAAGAAAUGCCAAAUUAUAUACACAAAGUUAUAGAAAUCACCACUCAUCAUGAUUUUAAUAUUUUUGUUUUCCAUAACAAUGAAAUACGCCUUGAACAAAUAUCACACAUCAAUAUUUUGUCACAUCACAUCCUGUAAGCAUAGUCUGUGUCUUUUCUCUGGAGAUGAACAUUUUCAGCCAAUAUAGGUAAUUCAUCAACAUGGCUGGAGAGAGUUGGUAGUUAUAUACAGUCUGUAUAAGUGUGGUUAAUCUAAUAAAUAUUUGUAAGGAGAUUAGUGUGAAUGUGCAGUUAGUGUGAAUUUACAGCAGUUACAGUGAUUAGUUAUAAACAGAGCCAGUGUGAUUGAGCGGAUUUAAGAAAAUGAGUGCCUCAGGUGUGUUGAUUGGUUUGUCGUGUGCUUUUGAGUCUAGAGGAGAGUUAGAAAUCUUUUGUUUUAAAUCUAAGUUAGGAAGAUUCAUGAUUUAAUUUCCAAAAUUGCACAUGAUCAAUUUCAAUCCAUCCAAUUUGUAGCAGAUCCACUAUCACAUAGCAGCUGGACCAGUCUCAAAUGAGGUCAGUCCACUACUGCCACCUGUGGCCAAGUGCCAUAGCUUACUACUAGAUGAACUUGUGACACAUCUGCACCUGCUUCUAUGGCCACAUUGAGAAGAGGCUGAAUGGCUGCACUUACUCCUGAUGCAUUCAAAUCGACCCACAAACAUGUUGAAAGAUGCAAUGCCAGCAAUGUGGAUUGUCAAGACUAAAACCAAUCAUUAAGCAAAGAAAACAGGGAUCAUAAUGUUUUUGAGAGAGGCACUGGGGCCGAAGCAGCUGCUCACCGGCUAUUAAAUUUAAAGCAGGGAAGACGGAGUAUGGCAGACUACUGUUAAAUUUUGGACCUUGGAAAGCAAAAUCCCGGCUUGAGAGUAACAUCUUGAUCCUCUGUUGUGGUGCAGGAGGUGCUUUUGAGGCAAGGAACUAAAAGUUCGCUCACUUUGAGGUGAAAUGUGCAUCUUAUUGUAUGGUCUUGUUAAAAAGAUGAACAUUCAGGAGUUUCUGUAUUUCUGCCCUGUUCUUGUAACUGCGUCUGAGAAAGGACAUGAAAACAGUAAGAAGACUAAUGCUUAGUAACUGCAUUCAUAUUUAGUGAUCGGAGAAAUUUAAAAUAAAAAAAACACGAAUAUAAUUUUAACCUAAAUUUAUACAGUGCUUCAAAUCCUAAUGUUAAAAAUGUGUAAUUUUAAUUUUAUGAGCCCAGAAUAUAAAAGAUAGGAGAGGAAAAUAGGGAAUCUGGAUUAUAAUUAUAAUUGAAAUUAAAAGUCUCAUUUCCAAGAGAGACCUGGCAUCAUGGCAGGAAAUUCAGAAAUACAUGCACCACAUAAGUACAUAACAGUUUUUCUAUUGGAUCAGACCGUCACAGUCCUGAUGCAUGAGACGUCAAUGUUUCAUUCUCUUCACCCACGCUACAGGUGGCGCUACUUCUCUUGACCAGAACCGAAGAAACUCUGUACUUCCAACAUGAUUAUUAAACACACAUAAGUUGACUCACGGUUUAACAUCUCUUUUCCACCACAGCAAAAACUGCAACAUGGGGCGGGGAGUCAUCACAGUGGUGGUCCCAGAAGGAAGAGACGCCAUCUUACCCUGCUCCCAGAAGAGUUGAAGCUUGGUAACGCCUCCAUAGUCAAACACCAAGCUGGUCGACAGUGGAGACUACUCCUGUAUUAUUCCAAAUCUUCAGCCAAAGGAACAAAGUUUCAACAUUAAACUCAUCGUUGAACGUGUCUUUAAGGACCGAUCAGGUGUCGUCACAGGUGCUUUUCCAAAGCCUUCGGUGAAGUGGAAGGACAGCGAUGGAAACAUCCUUCCCGCUGAGGAGCCGCACGUGUCGUACAGAGGAGACCACUACUAGGUCACCCUCCUCAUCACUGUGACCAAGACAGACACCAACGUCUCCCGCUGUGUAGCCACACAGCAGGAGAUCAGCCAUGUGACUGAUGAUGAGAUCUACGUGCCUCACUGUGGGAAAAAGCUGAGAACUGCUGUGGAGCUGGUGUGGUUGUAGCAGCAUUUUGUGGUGGAGUUCUGAUUACUGCAGUUCUGUUUGUAGUUAUAAAGUACAUUAGAAGAUGGCAGAGAGGUGAGAAUAAUAAUGGAUUUCAUAUUUAGCAUUUAUUUUGACAUAAUGUAUGUAUGAGGUGUAAAAUUGUCGAUAUUUUAUGGAUGAAUCUUUUGGUUUUAAACAUUUUUUCAUGACGGCUCUGGAUUGGCUGCAGAUUGCAAACACCAAAUUCUUUUUUACAGCAGGUAGUUUUAGGCAUAUUUAUCUCAUUUUUCCAGCUAACAGGAGAAGAGGGAGUGUUUCUUUUUUCUUCUUUUUAAAAAAAACAAAACUCUGAGUUAUCUGUUUUCUGCAGAUGUAGAUUAAUAAACUGUAAACUGAGGUACAAGAAGACAUUUAAGGUGAUGUUAGUGCUGAGCGAUUGUCUCCACAGUCUGACCGUCUUAUCGUCCUGCUGUAUGAUCACUAAUGCUGUGUCCCAUCAGCACCAGGGGCAGGUUUGUGGGGGUGAUGGGCUUAACAUGCAGUCAGUUAAGCAGCACUGGACACUCUUCAAGUGAACAGAGAUCUCACCUGACCCACAACAGUGAGUUCAGAAACUCGCUGCUAUUUCAUCUCCAUGUGUUAAACUCCAAAAGCUCAGGGACUCAAACCACAGACAACAGUAACACUGAGAAAUCAUGAGAAACUGUGGGCUGUGGAUUCACCACACAGUGCCUUAAAAUCAGCAGAACAUGAAGCUGUAACACUCAAAGGCUGCUUAUGAAAUGUGGUAGUGAUGGCAGCUGUUUGUUUUCUUUGAAAAUGGUUUAAAGUCGAUGAUUGGUGAUUGAUCAGGCCCUGAGAGUGACAAAGAUUUGAGUGAAGGAGAUGCCACACAAGUAACAGAUUCUACUUUUAUAGAUCUGAGAGGGUUUAAACAUGAGUGCAGCAGAGAGUCUUCAUCCAAGGGAACCAGAUUGUACAUAAUUUAAAAAGCUUUAAAAGGUGGAGACAAAAUCAGCUGCUUUUCGUUCUUACAGUAUCACUCAGCUUCUCAAUUUGUAUGAGCCAGACGCAGCUCAAAGCUGUAAAACUGCUGUGAUUGUAUUUUAGAUUGAACACAUUCAUCAUCAGAUUCUCUUUUUAUUUCUGCUUUAACCUCCUAGGACCUGGCGUCCACAUAUGGGGACAUCACAUUUUGGGUUGUCUAGACCACAAUACUAAAUUUUGCUCUUUCAGAUGGCUUUCAAAUGAGCCAUAUUGCUCAAACAGGCACAAUUGUUCUUUCUCAUUUUGUUUUUGUACUCAGGAAAAAUGCUGCAGUGUUCAGACACCAAAUAAAGAGUUUUGCACAUCAUUUCUCAAUUGUGACUUUGUAGUGUUCUAUAGAACACUACAAAGUCACAAUUGCAAAGAGAAAUUAAAAAUGCAUGCCAUGAAAGAGUUCGGGUCUUAGGAGAUUAAUUUGUUUUUCGUGUUCAUGUUGAGUAAGCUUGUUUGAGGAGAGUUUGUCUGUAUUUGUAAAAGUGACUUUAAAAAGAUUCUAAGCAAUAAAAAUGGUGACUUCCAGAAUUAUGUUUGUACUGUUAAAGCUGAUGAUGCUAAUGAAAUACUUGUAUUUAAAAGUGAUGCUACAAUUAAUAAGCUGAUUAUAUUUUACCGUGUGUUUUAUUUAUAUUAUGUUUUGACUACUGAAUUAAUAGGAACGAUCUAAAUCAUGACGUAAACAUUUUGUAUCCGAGCUUUUAAAA